rnacentral:rRNA from 1 species
GUCUCAGGCCGGAUCAGCCUGAAGGCGCCCGAUCUCGUCUGAUCUCGGAAGCUAAGCAGGGUCGGGCCUGGUUAGUAUCUUGGAUAGGAGACCACCUGGGAAUCCCGGGUGCUCGAGGCU